UUCUUUAGUGCUAAUUGUUCAUUUCUAUAUUAUGUCUUCAAAUUAUUUUUAUACUAUCUUACUUAUAUUCCAAUAUAAUUUUCUAGGAUGCAUUGGACGCUAGUGGUGGUUGCGCCAAAGAAAAUUAUCCAUUUAAACCCUCUAAAAGGCCGCCCAAUUCCCGAAGAAAUAGAACAAAUGAUCGGAAGGUAAUUAUUUAAUGACUUCUUAUGUAACGAAUUUAAAUUAACUAACGAAUUGAAAUGCUAAUAUAAUUUUUCCAAACAGGGCAUUCAUGUAUAUAGGGGGACGCACAUCAGUAUCUUGGCCCGUGGCAAGGAAUUGCACAAGCAAACUGUCCAAGACAACCUAAAAGCCAAGAAUGCGGUUUUUAUGUUUUGAAAUAUAUGACUGACAUCGUCGCACGUGCCAACCCCAACCGUUACAUAGAAGAUCAAAAAGCUUUUGGGGGUAAGAAGCAAUACGAUCCAAAAACAGAAAUUUUACCACUACAGCGAAAGUGGAUCGAACAAUUGAUGGCGGUGAUUCACGGUGACGAUUGAGGUUCAAAGGUCGAAGAAUUUUUCUUCAUUAUGUAAUUUUUAUAGAUUAACUUGUAAUUAGAUUUAUUAACUUAUUAAUAUUUUUAACUAAUUUUACAUGUUUGUGUAAUAUUUAAUUAUUUUUAUGAAAUCAAAUUAUGUUUUUACCC